UUCAGUACCACAUCGAACAUUGAGCACUU
rnacentral:piRNA from 1 species